rnacentral:rRNA from 1 species
CGCCAGACUCCUACGGGAGGCAGCAGUGAGGGAUAUUGGGCAAUGGGGGAAACCCUGACCCAGCGACGCCGCGUGAGGGAAGACGGUCUUCGGAUUGUAAACCUCUGUCUUUGGGGACGAAAAAGGACGGUACCCAAGGAGGAAGCUCCGACUAACUACGUGCCAGCAGCCGCGGUAAUACGUAGGUGGCAAGCGUUAUCCGGAUUUAUUGGGUGUAAAGGGCGUGUAGGCGGGAGCGCAAGUCAGAUGUGAAAACUCAGGGCUCAACCCUGAGCCUGCAUUUGAAACUGUGUUUCUUGAGUGCUGGAGAGGCAAUCGGAAUUCCGUGUGUAGCGGUGAAAUGCGUAGAUAUACGGAGGAACACCAGUGGCGAAGGCGGAUUGCUGGACAGUAACUGACGCUGAGGCGCGAAAGCGUGGGGAGCAAACAGGAUUAGAUACCGUAACG